rnacentral:rRNA from 1 species
ACGUGAAACCGUUCAAGGGUAAACCUGAGAAACCCGAAAGGUUCAGGUGGGUAGAUUCAUACGUCUUCCAUAAUGURGCGAUUAUUGAUCUUWUGUUUGGGUUCGUUUACGAUUUCCAAUGAAAAUGUUUUUAACGCACCCAUUUUAGAGAGCGUGCACUUCUACCCCUGUAAUGAACGUCGCGACCCGUUGAAUGUUGGUAUACGAAUUGUUAUGUAGUCUGUCGUAAUAAAUGUAUAUUUAUUGUUGCAUACGUAAAAAUUUCUUGCCAACUUGUUCGACGGUAUCGAAAGUUGACGCGUGGCCGCUACUUUGGCAAGCGUCCGGCCCACCGCAAGAGUGCAUAUGUUGUAUUAAUAGCAUAUACAUACUGUUGGUGGUGGUGUUUAUGGACAGCACCAUAUGCAUACACGUCUGUCUGCGAUGCUAUAGCUUCGGGUAAUUUCAGGACCCGUCUUGAAACACGGACCAAGGAGUCUAGCAUGUGCGCAAGUCAUUGGGAUAAUUUGACACCCAAAGGCGUAAUGAAAGUAAAGGUCAGUCCUGGUGCUGAACGAGGGAAGAUGGGAGGCGCAACGGUCGUCACUCCGCAUUCCCAGGGCGUCUCAAUUCUAUAUUAAAUAGAGGAGGCGCACCUAGAGCGUACACGCUGGGACCCGAAAGAUGGUGAACUAUGCCUGGUCAGGACGAAGUCAGGGGAAACCCUGAUGGAGGUCCGUAGCGAUUCUGACGUGCAAAUCGAUCGUCGGAACUGGGUAUAGGGGCGAAAGACUAAUCGAACCAUC